AUUGAACGCUGGCGGCAUGCCUUACACAUGCAAGUCGAACGGCAGCGGGGACUUCGGUCCGCCGGCGAGUGGCGAACGGGUGAGUAAUGUAUCGGAACGUACCAUUCAGUGGGGGAUAACUAUCCGGAAGGAUAGCUAAUACCGCAUAUUCUGUGAGCAGGAAAGCAGGGGAUCGCAAGACCUUGCGCUGAUUGAGCGGCCGAUAUCAGAUUAGCUAGUUGGUGAGGUAACGGCUCACCAAGGCUACGAUCUGUAGCGGGUCUGAGAGGAUGAUCCGCCAAACUGGGACUGAGACACGGCCCAGACUCCUACGGGAGGCAGCAGUGGGGAAUUUUGGACAAUGGGCGCAAGCCUGAUCCAGCCAUGCCGCGUGAGUGAAGAAGGCCUUCGGGUUGUAAAGCUCUUUCGGCCGGGAAGAAAUCGCAUCAGCUAAUACCUGGUGUGGAUGACGGUACCGGAAUAAGAAGCACCGGCUAACUACGUGCCAGCAGCCGCGGUAACAC
rnacentral:rRNA from 1 species